CUACUAUCCAGCGAAACCACAGCCAAGGGAACGGGCUUGGCGGAAUCAGCGGGGAAAGAAGACCCUGUUGAGCUUGACGUGAGUCCGACUUUGUGAAAUGACUUGAGAGGUGNNNGAUAAGUGGGAGCCCUUACGGGCGCAAGUGAAAUACCACUACUUUUAACGUUAUUUUACUUAUUCCGUGGGUCGGAAGCGGGGCAUGUCGUAUAACUUCGUAUAAUGUAUGGUUUUCGCAGCUUUU
rnacentral:ncRNA from 1 species